UGAUUUGACUACUGAGCUUCCGAAUGUGGGCCAAAGUGGGCAAGUGCUCACAUUAACCCUGUCCUAACAGAGAUAUCUGCAGAUCCUGGACUCUUAUCUGCGAUCAAGCUGGGAUUGGUCUGUUUCCAGCCAUAGAAUUAUUAACCCUUUUUUGAGGAGAAGCAUGAUAUUUUCAAUUCAGAAACACCAGGGGAUGUCAAAGGGGUUAGCCACAACUGCUUUUGUAUUUAAGAUCUAUUAGAAUUUCCCUGCAGCAGCCUGCAGAGGUGAAGCUUUCCAACCACAAUGUUUGCUCAUUCAGCUUGUCAGUCUAAUCACGACUCGGAUUCCAGCAGUUGAUGUUUAAUUCACAUAAUGUGCGGGUGAUAAGAUUUAUUUCAGGUAAACAUGUAAUCAAUACAUUGUGCUAAUGUUACACUUUCCCAAAAUACUCAGAAGAAGCAGAAUUCAUAGUAGUUCCGAGUUUGCAACUUUGUAAAUAAUACAUUG